rnacentral:rRNA from 1 species
AACGUAGGAGACAACCGUUAUCCGGAGUUACUGGGCGUAAAGGGCGUGUAGGCGGUUAGUUAAGUCUGGCGUGAAAGCUCUCGGCUAAACCGGGAGAGGUCGUUGGAUACUGGCCAACUAGAGGAUGGUAGAGGCGUGUGGAAUUCCGGGUGUAGUGGUGAAAUGCGUAGAGAUCCGGAGGAACACCAGUGGCGAAGGCGACACGCUGGGCCAUACCUGACGCUAAAGCGCGACAGCAUGGGGAGCAAACGGG